rnacentral:lncRNA from 1 species
CAAGCGUUUGGACUCCUUCUCAGAGUAUAUAGGUGACGUAGGGGCGCAUCUCGUCAAACCAUGGAUGCCAUCAUUUAAGAAAUUUGCCGCUUGAUGUGUGGAUCCGCCGUGGCUGCCGUCAGGCAUAGACACCAAGAACCGGACCUCGGUGGUGGAUCAUCGGGGUCGCGGAGGUCUACUGGAUGGGGUCUAGAAGUAUCCGGGCAAGUCGUCUCUGGGAACCCUGCUUAUUGCUCGCCGAUAUGUUUUCAGGCGUCGCGAUGCAGCUGUGUGCCGUGGCUGGGUCUCAUUGCCGUCUCAAUCGAGGGUAAGUCUUCUCCUCUGGUUCGCAUGCGAGUCCGCUUCGUUUCAAUGUCUGCUAGGGGGGAAAUCGACGCUCAGGGGCGGGAUGAAUCGCUCACCACCGCGCGCUACCGUGGAGAGCUCGGGUGUGAGCGUGAGGUAGGAGACACACGAUCACCGUAGGAUCUUAAUCAGAGGGCUAGGAGUAGAUGGUUACAUAGUUGAUUUGGGUCGUUGAUCCUCACAUGAACCAUCCAAACUAGAUCGGCGAUAACAUUUAAGAUAGGAUGGUGUGGACCGUUGGAUAGUGAUCGGGCCGUUCUGAUUUGGUUAGGGCAUGGCAAGUCAUCAGUCGUAGAUCCCAGAUCCAAUGACCCUAGUUGCGUACUGGUUCGUAUUGGAUAAGAAUCUAAUCGCGACCAUCUAAGGCAGAUCCAACGGCUCGAGGUCGCCCGUACCCCUUCGGCCGACGACUUUGCAAAAGAAGCCCUGAACUUUACAGAAUUUAACCCACAGUACUCUGCGGGAUGGCCUGUGUCUUAGAACAAUUUGCGUCGUAGCCCCUAUGGUUUCCGUAAAUAGUGCGCUCAGUCCAAAGAACAGAAAAUCAAAGGAAUUCAUUUAGAAAAUACAUUUUUGUGUGAAAAUAAUUAUAGGAACUUAAUUAAUUCCUAGAAAAUGAAUUUUAACUCCUUUUUAGUCCAUUCCAGUUGCUAUAAUUCUAUAAUAUUAUUGUUUAUCACAUAGUACCUCUGUUUUGGCAUAAAAACUAUAUUAAAACUAAACCCUUCAUUAAUCUUGUAUUGAAUACAUAAAACCUUAGGAAAUUCACAAUUCCUCUGUUUUAACUCCGAUUUGAUCCGUUCAAGUUGCGUUAGUCUUGUAUAAAUAUUUACUAUGCAAUAAAAACACUUAUUGUACCAUGUCUCAUUCUUUUAUGAUUAGGUCUUUAUUUAACUGAUGUUGGUUAGUCUUGUUAAUCUACUUACCAUUAUAAUCUACUAAAAUAUGAUCUAUGGUCAAUUUAUAAUUUUGAUUAAAGUUGGAUUAAUUACUACUUUCGGUUACCUUUUCUCUGGAAUUAUAAAAUAAACAUAGAACCUGGUGUUAAUCAUUUAAUCACAUCAUAACUUGAUGACCAUGACUCCGAUCUUAGUAGUUCUCGAUCCCACGAUCUCGAAGCAACGUGUAGGUCAGUAUUACACAGUUUGUUCUUAUGUUUGGUGUGAUGUUAAUUUUUUCUAUACCAUGUUUGUUUGUAUUGCUACGACUAGCAGUGAGGCCACGAGGAUCUGAAGAAUCACCCUGGUAACUGGAAUCUCAAGUGCCAGGCAAGUUGUGCCCUUGAUCCACUUUUGUUACCCAAUAAUGUUCUUUAUUAUCACUAUUCAAUGCAUAGGCUUAAUUUUGAUGGGACCCAAUAGGUCACCCUAGUAUGUUUAUCCAUUUUACCUUGUUAUCCCUAAAUCACUUGGGUAGUUUUGCUAUUGCUUUAUAUGGUUUUGGGUUCAUUAUAUCCAUGUUCCAAUUAUUUUGUUAUUUUAUUUAUGUUCAUGUCAAGAUCAUUAUCUUUAAUUAGAACAUGGAGCUUAACUUGAGAAACACGUGCCACCACAAGGGUGGAAUGGGACGCCCUUGGCUGACUAAUUAGGAAAGCUAGUGGAAGACUACCUUACCCGAAAGGGGCAAGGGAAGUAGGAGAGUUGCAUGCAAGGAGGUUCUCGAGUUGAUUUUGCUGCAAUGGCGGUCAGACGGGGGAUUCUUGCAAGUGCUCUUCCCAUACUGUAGCGGGUUUUUGGAAGCUACUGGAACUUUGUAAAGGCCUCGAAGUGGAUCCCUAGCCAUUCACCUCGGUAGUGUCUAAGGGUCUAACUAAUCCUGGCGACAUGGAUACACGACUUGUGGGUACAGGAUACAACCUCUACAGAGUGUAAAACUGGUAUACUAGCCGAGCUCACGGUCAUGAGCAGCUCAGGACUCUCGCAUGAUUAACUUAUGAAACUUAAACUCAAUUUGUCAUAUGCAUUGCAUGGGAUUAUUUGUUAGUUUUGUUCUAUUAUUAUUUAUUAUGGUUUGGUAUUUACUUACACUUAGUAACUGCUAAUGAAAUUUGACUAACUUAUUAAAAGCAAUGCUCAGCUUUAACCCCUAUUGUUGAUCACUUUACACAUCACAUGAACUCCCACCUUUGGCGAGUUCAUGCACAUUAUUCCCCACAACUUGUUGAGCGAUGAACAUGUGUGAGCUCAGCCUUGCUGUCUCACACCCCCCAUAGGAGAAGAACAGGUGGUUCAAGAGGAGCCAAAUAGCGAGGAGUUUGAUUCGAUCUAGCUAGGUGGCGUCUCCCAGUUGACUUUCUGGCGCCAAGGAUGGAUUUUGGUUCGAUCCAUAUUUAUAUUUUAUUUUGAAAGACUUCCGCUAUGUAAUAAGUUCUCUGAUUAUAUUGUGACAUUUAUCUCUAUACACUCUGUUAUUAUAUAUGUUGUCUUCUUUGGCGCAUGUAUGAGAUUCACCCGGCUUUGUCCCUUAAUUCCAGGUGUGACAGCCGCCGUCGACCCGAGACUUCACCGCCUCCCCGUCGUCCUCCAGGUGCUCCCGGGUUCGCACUCAUGGUCAGCAACCUCCCUAUGCACUUAAUUCGUUCGUUACUGCCCUAGUGCCCGCACAAUUCCUUGCCAGAGUUGAUCCGCGCCACCGUUAGCCUGCUUCGCCGUGUUCCGCGCUCUCUAGUGCCCCCGCGCUGGUAUUGUGCCUAACACUCAGUUUGCAGGGUCGCCCUGAUCGCACCUGAGCUAUUCCCCAAGCACCUAGCGUCGUGUCGUGGCCAAUCCCCUCGUCUCCGGCGAGAUCCCGCCGCGAGGUCGAGCGGCGCCAUCGUGCCAAGGACCCUCCAUCCCGACCAUGCUGACCGACGGAUCUCGGACGUCCAUCCAAGAUCUGGUAGUCUGGGUUUAAUUAAAACAGAUAUGAUCGUCACCGUCCGAUGCGAAUCCAACCGCUCAUCCCGGCUCCCCUCAUGUCACACCUGGUUUUAAGAGACAAAGUUGGGUGCAUCUCAUAUAUGCGCCAAAGAAGACAACACAUAUAAUACAGAGUGUAUAGACAUAAAUAUCACAAUAUAAUCAGAGUACUUAUUACAUAGCGGAAGUCUCCAAAUAAAAUAUAAAUAUAGAUCGAACUAAAGUCCAUCCUUGGCGCCAUAAAGUCAAUUGGGAGACGCCACCUAGAUCAGAUCGAACUCCUCGCUGUGUGGCUCCUCUUGAACCACCUAUUCUUCUCCUAUGGGGGGUGUGAGACAGCAAGGGUGAGCUCACACAUGUUAAUCGCUCAACAAGUUGUGGGGAAUAAUGUGGCAUCAACUCACCAAAGGUGGGAGUUUAUGUGAAGUGCAAGGCUGAUCAACAAAAUAAAGGUUGAAGCUGAGCAUUGCUUUUAUAAGUUGGUCAAAAUUUUAUUAGCAGUUACUAAGUGCAAGUAAAUACCAAACCAUAAUAAAUAAUAGAACAAAUGAAUAAAUAAUCCCAUGCAAUGCAAAUGACAAAUUGAAUUUAAGUUCCAUAAAUUAAUCAUGUGAGUGUCCGAGCCGCUCAUGACCGUGAGCAUGACUAGUAUACCAGUUUUACACUCUGCAGAGGUUGUACGCUAUACCCACAAGUCGUGUAUCCCAUGUCACUAGGGUUUGCAAGGCCCUUAGACACUACCGAGGUGAAUGGUUAGGGAUCCACUACGAGGCCUUUACAAAGUUCCACUAGCUUCCGAAAACCCUCUACAGUUAUGGGAAGAGCACUUGCAAGAAUCCCUCGUAUGACCGCCAUCGCAGCAAAAUCAACCCGAGAACCUCUCUGCAGGCAACUCCCCUACUCCACUAGCUUUCCUAAUUAGUCAGCCAAGGGCGUCCCAUACCACCCUUGUGGUGGCACUAUUUUCCCAGGUGGUUCUCCAUGUUCCCAUUAAUAUAAUGAUCUUAUCAUGAACAGUAAAUAAUAAACUGAUAACAAAAGUGUGAACAUGAGUAAUGUAUAUCUCUAUACCCAAAACCACAUAAAGAAAUAGCAUAUACUACCCAAAAAUUAAGUGGUAAAACAAGGUAUAAAGAUAGCCAAAACUAGGGCAACGACCCAUCAAAAUUAACCUAUACAGAUCAUUAUGAUUAAUAAGAACAUGACUGGGUAAAAAGGAAGUGAUCAAGGGCACAACUUGUCUGGCACUUGAGAUUCUAGGUACCAGGAUGAUUCUUUAGAUCCUCGAAACCUCGUGCUAGUCGUAGCAAUACAAACAAACAUGGUAUAGACAAAAUUAACAUCACACCAAACAUAAGAACAAAAUGUAUAACAAUGAUCUUCGCGUUGCUACGAGAAUGUGGGAUUGGGAACUACUAAGAUCGGAGUUACGGUCAUCAAGUUAUGAUGUGAUUAAAUGAUUAAAACUAGGUUCUAUGUUUAUUUUAUAAUUCUAGAGAAAAGAUAACCUACAGUAGUAAUUAAUUUCAACUUUAAUCUAAAUUAUAAAUUGACCAUGGAUCAUAUUUUCGUAGAUUAUAAUGAUAAGCAGAUUAACAAGACUAACCAACAUAAGUUAAAUAAAGGUCUAGUUAUAAAAGAAUGAAACAUGGUACAAUAACUGUUGUUAUUGCAUAGUAAAUAUUCAUAUGAAGCUAACGCAACUGGAGCGGGUCAAUUCGGAGUUAUAGAUUUUAAGUCCUGAAUUUCUAAGGAUUCUAUGUGUUUUGUACAAGAUUAAAUAGGAUAUAAAUUUUAAUGUGAAUUUCAUAUCAAAACAGUGGCCCUAAUUGAUAAACAAUAAUAUUAUAAAAUUAUAGAAAUUGGAAUGGAUUGAUUUGGACUUCAUAUGAAUUUUAUAUGAAUUAAACAAGUUCUAGCAUUUAUUUUUGCAUUAAAAUCAUUUUCUAACUCCAUUUAUCUGAUUUCCUAACUUCAUGGACUGGGCGCACUAGUACAGGGAAGAGCAGGGGUCCCUGCGCAAGAAUCACAAGACUCAGCGCACAGCCAUCACGGACUGCAGGUUUAUUCUUAAUAAAUCCAGGGGCUUAUGUGUUAAAUGUGCUAGGGAAGGGUUAUCGGAAAGAUCUAGCCGCUGGAUCUCGCGUGGACGGUCCAGAUUAAAACAACCUCACCCGAACCGGUAUGCGUCCACAUCCAUCAGAUGGAGGAUCAACGGUUCAGAUCUAUGCUACGAAGGGGUAUCUUCUAGUCUAAUAUAUGUCGUUCGUACCAGAUCGGACGGCGCCGACCCCAUCUCCCCCAUCGCUUCACUCUCCUCCCAACGGCACGGCGCGCCGCCGAGGAACAAACGUCGCCGGCGAUGUCAAUCGAGCCCGCUACUAUGCUAUUCCUCAAUUACCAGGUUCUACGCGCUCGCAAGGAGGAAACAGGUUGGAUGGAAGUUACCUCACUGGCGAUUAGCCGCCGUUUGCAGCAGCCCACGCACCGGUUGAAUUUGCGGCCGAGCGCGGACAACGGCGUGCAAUUGCCGACGGUUCGAUCACCCCUGGACCCUCCGGUUGACACCACGGCGAGCGCAAUCCCACGACGAAGCUCUCAAACCCAAAGCCGACGCCAAGACGUUGCCCUGGCCGAGAAUGGCGGAGCAGUAUUCCCUCCCUCAACUCACACACCAAUGUCGGCCGAAUUCUAGUUAGUGGCUAGGUUUGGGUGGACGCAGGAUGCCACGGCCGGGUUGAUCUUCUUAUACGCGCGGAAAUAGCCAACACACAACGGAAUCCGCCUAAAAUCCCCAGCGAGGUCGAUGCGGCGCGCGCGGGGUUCGUUACACCUGUGCGGAGCUGGCUUGGUCCAACUAUCUCUGCUAUGGCGGCCCCACCUCACAGGUACACCCUGCGCAAGAAUGGUUGCUGAAAAUGGGGCCCCAUCGCAGCGAGUGCGCACCAGGAAGCGAAUCCGCCCGAUGUCGUGGGUCCACCCGCCAGUGAAGCACCAGAUCCACGGAGAGCUGGUUUAGUUCGUGGGAUGAUGUAGCUGACACGUAGGGCCAGGAUGUCGGUGCGCGUGGGCAUGAUGGGAAGUUGGGCUGGUACGCGCGGUGAGGUCUAGCUGGGCCGAAUUGGUCGCCGUGGCCCAAUUAAAUUCAGACCCUUUUCUAUUUUCCAUUUUGUUUUAUUUUGAAUUCCCUUUUCUAAAUUCAAACUUGCUAUUUGAAUUUAAAAUUGGUUUGCAGAUUUCACAGGUCAAGUGCACAAAAUAAAAAAAUACCAGUUUAGGGAUAUAUUUAUAUUUAUAUUUUAUACUCCUUUUCUUAUCUUUUCCCUCCUUUUUCUCAUUUUCCAUUUUCAAAUUUAGGUUUCAAACCAAAUCUUAAACUUAUUAUUUUAUUUUUAUUGGUAUUAUUUUCCCUAUUAUUUAAUGCACAAUCAAAACUCCAAUAUGAUGCAGGGCUUAAUUUAGUUAUCGUAAUCAUUUGUUUUCUCGUAUGUGGUUAUUACCAUGUGAUGAUGAGUAUGAGGCAACACAUAGGUUGAGAUGUACUCUCUGUAAGGCCCAAAAUUGGUAUAAGAAAAAAAAAAUUAAUAAUAAAAUAAAAACACGAAGAAAUAAAAUAGCAAAUUCAGAUAUCUCAAAUUAUACUUAAGUGUGAAAUUUGAGGACUGAAUUCUGAAAACCCAGAAUUAUUUUAGAAAAAGAAGUAAUAGAAAGGUUUUCUAUUCAAUAAAAUGGUUAUUCAUUUCAUUAAAUGAUACACUAAAAGCCUUUAUUUAAAUGAGUAUUGCUAGGUAAAGAUAGUAUUAAAGUUAGAUGACUCAAAAAUUGUCGAGACUUUUAAAAUUUAUUUUUAAACUCAAAAAAUAAAUAAAUUGGAGGAUUUCCUAUUGAUUUGGGAAAAUACCCCCCCCGUAUUCAAUAUUAUGUUUAGAAGCAUUUGCUUAACCGAGAUGAUAAAUAACUCAAAUAAGAAAAAAAAGCUAUACUGGCUUCAUGAUUGGGUUUCAUGCGUUGUUGCACUUAUAAUCAAAUUUGAAACUCAGGUUUGAAUUUAGAAUUAUGAAUUUAAACUUGAAUUUGGAAAUAAGUAAAAGAAAGAUAAUAAAAAAAUAGGAAAGAUGCUAUACAAAAUAAAUAAGUAAAUAAAUAAAAUCUACCCAUACUAGUAUGUUUAUUUUGUAAUUUUCAUCUGAGUGCAAGUUCACAUUUAAAUUUGAAUUCAAAAUUUGAAUCAAAAAGAUUAGAGAAGGAGAAUAGAAAAUAAAAAGAAAAAGGUGAAAGCACAGUUUGGGCCGAGAUGCCGCUUUCGGCCCAUUUCUGAUUUCCCUCUGCGCGGCCCAGCGAAUUCUGCCCUGGCUCUCCGCAACGGUCACUUCCGCGUGGACCCGCCCAAUCAGUCACCCAGUGCGUACCUAGCUUCCCUUCCUAUCUCUGCCCUCGGGGACCCACAGUGUCAGCCUCAUUUCCACCCCGCCCGUGCAUUUGUGCUCACCUGCCUCUGUCGUGUGGGCCCGGGUGUACAGAUCUUUCCUCUACCCCACUACCGGUGGCGCGGAAUCUGCGCGGCUCAACGACUUGGCCAACGGAAACAGAUUCCACAGAUCUCGCCGUGGGCGUCGGGCAGGGGAUGGUUCGGCGCACCUCCUCGGGGUAUUUAAUCAGCUCGGAUCGAAGCUUCUUCCCUCGACACCGUCGGUAGCUAGCGAGGGGGAGUCCAAGAAUUGCCGCCACGCCAGAAUCGGGUUAGCUGAGUGAUUUGUGGUGGAUUGAGGACGAUUAUGUGCGCGGGGGUGCUCGGUUCUAUCUGUGGGGUCAUCAGGCUCGUACAUCGGGCGGGGAGCAGUGAAUUGCUUGCCGGUGUCCCUCUUCCGCUGGGAUCGGCGCUCUCACCGUGGGCCGAGACCUCCAUUGCUCCUCCAUCGGUAAGUUGCUUUCCAGUAUGUUCCUGUUCAUGCCCGUUUCGUUUCGCGCUACUCCGAAUUAAGCUUUGGCGCUUGGAUCGUCGCUCGACAUGCGCCAGUCAUGGCGACCACCGCAGACGGGACGCUGGGCGCCGCCGCAUCCUACCUCGGGGAGAAGAAGGCGUGCUGGUCAUGGAUUCAGUAAUCGACGACACGGAUUAAAACUCAUGUAUCCCUUCGCUAGAUCCACCUCGGUAGUAGGAUCGUGAUCGGAGGGUUGGAUCUUGGGAUCGUAGGAUGUUGGCCGUUGGAUAUAGAUCCAAUAGCUCUCAGUGCAUAUCGAUUCAAUAAGAUCUAAAUCUAAUCACCACCGUCGGUUCUCGAUCUGGCGGACCAGAGCCGCCCAUACCCCUUCGCCAUGACAGUUUAGCAUAUGAACCCCUGCAGAAUCAAGUAAUGAACCCGCAGUCCACUACGUGGGUAAACUGAGUCUUGGGAAACUUUACACCGAUAACCCUGCACUUCCCUGUUUUCAUGUGCCCAGUCCAGAGACUUAUAAAAUCCAGUAAAAAUAAUUAGAAAUGAUUUUUAAUGUGAAAAAAUGCUAGAACUUGUUUAAUUCAUAUAAAAUCCAUAUGAACUCCAAAUUGACUCAUUUCAAUUUCUAUAAUUUUGUAAGAUUAUUGUUUAUCAUCUAGUGCCACUGUUUUGACAUGAAAGCCCCAUUAAAAUUAAUUUCCUAAUUAAUCUUAUAUCAAAAACAUAAAACCCUAGGAAAUUCAUAACUUCCCCAUUUUAACUCCGAAUGAACCGUUCGAGUUGCGUGAGUCUCGUAUAAAUAUUUACUAUGCAUUAACAACAUUUAUUAUACCAUGUCUCAUUCUUUUUUAAUUAGAUCUUUAUUAAAUUUAUGUUGGUGAGACUUGUUAAUUUGCUUAUCAUUAUAAUCUACUAAAAUAUGAUCUAUGGUCAAAUUAUAAUUUGGAUUAGAGUUGAAUUAAUUACUACUUUAGGUUAUCUUUUCUUUGGAAGUAUAAAAUAAACAUUGAACCUAGUUUAAUCAUUUAAUCACAUCAUAACUUGAUGACCACGACUCCGAUCCUAGUAGUUCUCGAUCCCACGAUCUCGUAGCGACGCGUAGAUAAUUAUUAUUCAAUUUGUUCUUAUGUUUGGUGUGAUGUUAAUUUUGUCUAUACCUUGUUUGUAUUGCUACGACUAGCGUGAGGUCAUGAGAAUCUGAAGAAUCACCCUGGUAACUGGAAUCUCAAGUGCUAGGCAAGUUGUGCCCUUUAUUCACUUUUGUUACCCAAUAAUACUCUUUAUUAUCACUAUUCAAUGCAUAAGUUUAAUUUUGAUGGGACCCAAUAGGUCACCCUAGUCUGUUUAUCUUUUACCAUGUUCGCCUCUGAAUGAUUGGGUAGUUUUUGCUAUUGCUCUAUAUGGUUUUGGGAUUAAUAUUUCAUUAUAUCCAUGUUCCAAUUAUUCUGUUAUUUUAUUUAUGUUCAUGUCAAGAUCAUUAUAUCUUUAAUUGGAACAUGGAGCUUAACUUGAGAAACAUGGGCCACCAUAAGGGUGUAAUGGGACGCCCUUGGCUGACUAAUUAGGAAAGCUAGUGGAAGACUACCUUACCCGAAAGGGGAAAGGGAAGUAGGGGAGUUGCAUGCAAGGAGGUUCUCGGGUUGAUUUUGCUGCGAUGGCGGUCAGACGAGGGAUUCUUGCAAGUGCUCUUCCCAUAAACUGUAGCGGGUUUUCGGAACCUAGUGGAUCUUUGUAAAGGCCUCGUAGUGGAUCCCUAGCCAUUCACCUCGGUAGUGUCUAAGGGCCUUGCAAACCCUGGCGACAUGGGAUACACGACUUGUGGGUAUAGGGUACAACCUCUGUAGAUUGUAAAACUGGUAUACUAGCCAAGCUCACAGUCAAGAGCAGCUGAGGACUCUAGCAUGAUUAAUCUAUGUAACUUAAAUUCAAUUUGUCAUUUGCAUUUGCAUGGGAUUAUUUAUUAAUUUUGUUCUAUUAUUUAUUAUGGUUUCGUAUUUACUUACACUUAGUAACUGCUAAUAAAAUUUGACCAACUUAUUAAAAGUAAUGCUCAGCUUUAACCCCUACUGUUGAUCAGCUUUACACAUCAGAUGAACUCCCACCUUUGGUGAGUUCAUGCCACAUUAUUCUCCACAACAUGUUGAGCGAUGAACAUGUGUGAGCUCACCCUUGCUAUCUUGCACCCCCCACAGGAGAAGAAUAGGUGGUUCAAGAGGAGCCACAAAUCGAGGAGUUCGAUUCGAUCUAGCAUGCGUCUCACAGUUGACUUUCUUGCGCCAAGGAUGAUCCUUAGUUUGUGUUAUAUUUAUCUUUUAUUUUUGUAAGACUUCCUCUAUGUAAUAAGUACUCUGAUUAUAUUGUGACAUUUAUCUCUAUACAC